rnacentral:ncRNA from 2 species
UAUAAUUGCGCCCCUGCAGGUGUCCGGCCCGUCAACGACAGGCCGGGUGAAACGGGAAGCCGGUGACAAUCCGGCGCUGCCCCCGCAACGGUAAGGCCUGAUCGUGUGCAACGCGAUCCAGGAGCAACAACCGCCACUGUCCGCACGGACGGGAAGGCGUUGCUCCGCAAGGCCGAGCCCGGAGACCGGCCUGCAGCGUGCCCGUGCG